CUUGCUUUACUGUAACAGCCAGCUCCUUGGGAGGCUGAGUCCAGGAGUUCUUGGAUAGUUCAGGUUCACUAUCAGGUGUCCCCACUAAGUUUGACAUCAAUAUGGUGACCUCCGCAAGUGGUGAACCACCAGGUUGUUGAAGGAAAGAUGAACUGUCCCAGGUCAGAAAUGGAGCAGUUCAAACUUCCGUGCUGAUCAGUAGCACAAUGGUGCCUGUGACUAACCACUGCACUCCAGCCUGGGCAACGUU
rnacentral:SRP_RNA from 1 species